UGGGGACGAUCUGCGGGCAGAUGAAGUGCACGUGGCAGUCGAUGCCGCCGGCGGUGAGGAUGCGGCCGUUCCCGGCGAGCACCUCGGUGCCCGGGCCGAUGACCAGGCCGGGGUGGACGCCGUCCAUCGUGUCGGGGUUGCCCGCCUUGCCGAGCGCCACGAUCCGGCCGUCCCGGAUGCCGACGUCGGCCUUGACGACCCCCCAGUGGUCGAGGACGACCGCACCGGUGAUCACCAGGUCGGGCGCGCCCUCGGCGCGGGUGGCCCGGCCCUGCCCCAUCGACUCGCGGAUCA
rfam:Geodermatophilus obscurus DSM 43160, complete genome.